GUGCUCGCUUCGGCAGCACAUAUAUUAAAAUUGGAACGAUACAGAGAAGAUUAGCAUGGCCCCUGUGCAAGGAGUGCAGUUACAACCUACUCUACAAAGUUUCU